AGUCGAACGAUGAUCCCAGCUUGCUGGGGGAUUAGUGGCGAACGGGUGAGUAACACGUGAGUAACCUGCCCUUGACUCUGGGAUAAGCCUGGGAAACCGGGUCUAAUACUGGAUAUGACCUUCUGGCGCAUGCCAUGUUGGUGGAAAGCUUUAUUGCGGUUUUGGAUGGACUCGCGGCCUAUCAGCUUGUUGGUGGGGUAAUGGCCUACCAAGGCGACGACGGGUAGCCGGCCUGAGAGGGUGGACGGCCACACUGGGACUGAGACACGGCCCAGACUCCUACGGGAGGCAGCAGUGGGGAAUAUUGCACAAUGGGCGCAAGCCUGAUGCAGCGACGCCGCGUGGGGGAUGAAGGCCUUCGGGUUGUAAACCUCUUUCAGUAGGGAAGAAGCGAAAGUGACGGUACCUGCAGAAGAAGCGCCGGCUAACUACGUGCCAGCAGCCGCGGUAAUACGUAGGGCGCAAGCGUUAUCCGGAAUUAUUGGGCGUAAAGAGCUCGUAGGCGGUUUGUCGCGUCUGCCGUGAAAGUCCGGGGCUUAACCCCGGAUCUGCGGUGGGUACGGGCAGACUAGAGUGAUGUAGGGGAGACUGGAAUUCCUGGUGUAGCGGUGAAAUGCGCAGAUAUCAGGAGGAACACCGAUGGCGAAGGCAGGUCUCUGGGCAUUAACUGACGCUGAGGAGCGAAAGCAUGGGGAGCGAACAGGAUUAGAUACCCUGGUAGUCCAUGCCGUAAACGUUGGGCACUAGGUGUGGGGGACAUUCCACGUUUUCCGCGCCGUAGCUAACGCAUUAAGUGCCCCGCCUGGGGAGUACGGCCGCAAGGCUAAAACUCAAAGGAAUUGACGGGGGCCCGCACAAGCGGCGGAGCAUGCGGAUUAAUUCGAUGCAACGCGAAGAACCUUACCAAGGCUUGACAUGAACUGGAACAGCGCAGAGAUGUGUUGGCCGCUUGCGGGCUGUUUACAGGUGGUGCAUGGUUGUCGUCAGCUCGUGUCGUGAGAUGUUGGGUUAAGUCCCGCAACGAGCGCAACCCUCGUUCUAUGUUGCCAGCGCG
rnacentral:rRNA from 1 species